AUUAGAGUUUGAUCCUGGCUCAGGAUGAACGCUGGCGGUAUGCUUAACACAUGCAAGUCGAACGGAACCUUUCGGGGUUUAGUGGCGGACGGGUGAGUAACGCGUGAGAACAUGCCUAUUGAUUGGGGACAACAGUUGGAAACGACUGCUAAUACCGAAUGUGCCUUUAGGGGUGAAAGAUUUAUCGUCAAUAGAUUGGCUCGCGUCAGAUUAGCUAGUUGGUGGGGUAAGAGCUUACCAAGGCGACGAUCUGUACUUGGUCUGAGAGGAUGACCAGGCACACUGGAACUGAGACACGGUCCAGACUCCUACGGGAGGCAGCAGUGGGGAAUUUUCCGCAAUGGGCGCAAGCCUGACGGAGCAAUACCGCGUGAGGGAGGACGGCUUUUGGGUUGUAAACCUCUUUUAUCAGGGAAGAAUUGAUGACGGUACCUGAUGAAUCAGCAUCGGCUAACUCCGUGCCAGCAGCCGCGGUAAUACGGAGGAUGCAAGCGUUAUCCGGAAUUAUUGGGCGUAAAGCGUCCGUAGGUGGCGAAACAAGUCUUUUGUCAAAGCGUGCGGCUUAACCGCAUCCGGGCAGAGGAAACUGUUGUGCUUGAGUGCGAUAGGGGUCACAGGAAUUCCCAGUGUAGCGGUGAAAUGCGUAGAUAUUGGGAAGAACACCAGCGGCGAAAGCGUGUGACUGGGUCUGCACUGACACUGAGGGACGAAAGCUAGGGGAGCGAAAGGGAUUAGAUACCCCUGUAGUCCUAGCCGUAAACGAUGACAACUAGGCGUGGUUCGUAUCGACCCGAGCCGUGCCGUAGCCAACGCGUUAAGUUGUCCGCCUGGGGAGUACGCACGCAAGUGUGAAACUCAAAGGAAUUGACGGGGGCCCGCACAAGCGGUGGAGUAUGUGGUUUAAUUCGAUGCAACGCGAAGAACCUUACCAAGGCUUGACAUCCUCGGAACCUCCUUGAAAGGGGAGGGUGCCUUCGGGAACCGAGAGACAGGUGGUGCAUGGCUGUCGUCAGCUCGUGUCGUGAGAUGUUGGGUUAAGUCCCGCAACGAGCGCAACCCACGUUUUUAGUUGCCAGCAUUGAGUUGGGCACUCUAGAGAGACUGCCGGUGACAAACCGGAGGAAGGUGUGGAUGACGUCAAGUCAGCAUGCCCCAUACGCCUUGGGCUACACACGUACUACAAUGCGUUGGACAAAGGGCUGCAAGUCAGCGAUGGCAAGCCAAUCCCAUAAACCAACGCUCAGUUCAGAUUGCAGGCUGCAACUCGCCUGCAUGAAGGCGGAAUCGCUAGUAAUCGCAGGUCAGCAUACUGCGGUGAAUACGUUCCCGGGCCUUGUACACACCGCCCGUCACACCAUGGGAGUUGGUCAUGCCCGAAGUCGUUACUCUAACCCUUGUGGAGGAGGACGCCGAAGGUGGGGCUGAUGACUGGGGUGAAGUCGUAACAAGGUAACCAAU
rnacentral:rRNA from 1 species